CAUGGAAGCAAAUUUGUCCUUUUAUGGGAUAAUAAGUUUCCUUAGUUUCAUGUUUCAAAAGCUUCAUUUACGUUUCAACGCAAUACAAUUGCAUGAAAAGAGGAAUGUGUUUCCAAUAGAAUUAAAAUCCUUAAAAGUGUCUUUAUAACUGGUGUUUAUGCUGUAAACAGAGGGAAGGAUGGUUUUAUUUGGCCUCUGAUACACUUACGGAGAAAUAGUUGCCUCCAGAACCCCGCGUAUAGUUUGCAUACUAAUCAUUUUUGUAAUUGAUCUUUUCAGCUUUUUUCAUGCACUGUGGAAGGUUGUCAGAUGCCUCUUUGAAGUUAACUAAUGAUCGUGCGAGCAAAGAGUCUGCAGUGGGAGCCAGGUCUCUGGCGUUGUAGCAGCACAGCUUCCACAUGCUGGCGCUCUUCCGUUACCUUGUGGGAUUUUUUCAGAUGGAGGAGAAGCAAGAGAUGGGCUGAAAUCUCCCUGUGUGAAAGUGAGGCUGUGACCCCAACCUGGUGCCUCCUGUCUACUUGCCCUGGGCUGCAAAAAGAAGAAUCAUCCCUGGUGAGUCUGGGUCAUCUUUAUGCCCUGCUUUCAUUUCUUCAUUGGAAAUGUCAAGUGAAAUGGUGUGGGUUUUUUGGAAGUCUGGUUUUCUUGGCUCAGUGAGAUAAAAGUUAAAUCCAUUCAAAUUCAAUUCAGCCUGAACUGAAGGGUUUUUCUUUUUUUACUUUACUUUUCAUUCAGUUGCCAAAUUGAAAAUAAAUGAUUCACGCAGCACUACCUGACA
rnacentral:lncRNA from 1 species